GAUUAAUACCGCAUAAGAUUGUAGUAUCGCAUGAUAUAGCAAUUAAAGGAGCAAUUCGCUAUAAGAUGGACCCGCGUCGCAUUAGCUAGUUGGUGAGGUAAUGGCUCACCAAGGCGACGAUGCGUAGCCGACCUGAGAGGGUGAUCGUCCACAUUGGGACUGAGACACGGCCCAGACUCCUACGGGAGGCAGCAUG
rnacentral:rRNA from 1 species